rnacentral:rRNA from 1 species
CCCACCCACGGACCAAGGAGUCUAACACGUGCGCGAGUCGCAGGGUAGUACGAAACCCGAAGGCGCAACGAAAGUGAACCUUUUCUUACGAAUCGGUAGGUGGGAUCCCGGACCGAAUCCCGCUCGCGGGAAGAAUGGGCGCACCACCGGCCUGUCUCGGCCGCGACGUCGGCGAGGCGGAGCAAGAGCGUACGCGUUGGGACCCGAAAGAUGGUGAACUAUGCCUGAGCAGGAUGAAGCCAGAAGAAAUUCUGGUGGAGGUCCGCAGCGAUUCUGACGUGCAAAUCGAUCGUCAAACUUGGGUAUAGGGGCGAAAGACUAAUCGAACCAUCUAGUAGCUGGUUCCCGUCGAAGUUUCCCUCAGGAUAGCUGGCGCUCAUUGGAUAAGCAGUUUUAUCCGGUAAAGCGAAUGAUUAGAGGCCUUGGGGACGUACAGACCUCAACCUAUUCUCAAACUUUAAAUGGGUAAGACGUCCGUCUCGCUUGAUUGGAGUCGGGCUGUUCGAAUGCGAGUGCCAAGUGGGCCAUUUUUGGUAAGCAGA